rnacentral:tRNA from 1 species
GCGUCCAUAGCUCAGUUGGUAGAGCAACUCCCUUUUAAGGAGAUGGUCGGGGGUUCGAAUCCCUCUGGACGCACAA